rnacentral:rRNA from 1 species
GUUUGAUCCUGGCUCAGAUUGAACGCUGGCGGCAUGCCUUACACAUGCAAGUCGAACGGCAGCACGGAGCUUGCUCUGGUGGCGAGUGGCGAACGGGUGAGUAAAAUAUCGGAACGUACCCAGGAGUGGGGGAUAACGUAGCGAAAGUUACGCUAAUACCGCAUACGUCCUAAGGGAGAAAGUGGGGGAUCGCAAGACCUCAUGCUCAUGGAGCGGCCGAUAUCUGAUUAGCUAGUUGGUG